UCUGUCCCGCCGCGCCACUUCGUCUUCCUCAGUCCCGCCGCUCGCCGCGCCACUUCGCCUGCCUCUGUCCCGCCGCCAGCCGCGCCAUGCCCGUCGCCGGCUCCGAGCUGCCGCGCCGGCCCUUGCCGCCCUCCGCACAGGAGCGGGACGUCGAGCCGCGUCCGCCGCACGGGGAGCUGCAGUACCUGGGGCAGAUCGAGCACAUCCUCCGCUGCGGCGUCAGGAAGGACGACCGCACGGGCACCGGCACCCUGUCGGUAUUCGGCAUGCAGGCGCGCUACAGCCUGAGAGAUGAAUUUCCUCUGCUGACAACCAAACGUGUGUUCUGGAAGGGUGUUUUGGAGGAGUUGCUGUGGUUUAUCAAGGGAUCCACAAAUGCUAAAGAGCUGUCUUCCAAGGGAGUGAAAAUCUGGGAUGCCAAUGGAUCCCGAGACUUUUUGGACAGCCUGGGAUUCUCCACCAGAGAAGAAGGGGACUUGGGCCCAGUUUAUGGCUUCCAGUGGAGGCAUUUUGGGGCAGAAUACAGAGAUAUGGAAUCAGAUUAUUCAGGACAGGGAGUUGACCAACUGCAAAGAGUGAUUGACACCAUCAAAACGAACCCUGACGACAGAAGAAUCAUCAUGUGCGCUUGGAAUCCAAGAGGUCAAAAGAACCCCAUUGUCUUCAUUUAUACUAACCAUACUCUUAGAGGGAAGCAAUGUGGUUUUGUGCAAAGGCACCUGAGGGAGGCAGGACCCUGGGAACUUCCCCCAGCCACAUGGUUGAUUGUGUGACCUUGGGCAAGUCACAUUUUGCUGCACUUUCACCUUCAGAUCAUGAGGUUGGGCCCAGAGGAUUUUUUUUUUUUUUUGAGACAGAGUUUUGCUCUGUCGCCCAGGCUGGGAUGCAACAGCGCGAUCUUGGCUCAUUGUAACCUCUGCCUCC
rnacentral:sRNA from 1 species